UAUCCCAAUAUCUUUCAGUCCUGAAUCCUUGUGAACCAGCUGAGGAGGUACCCAUGGUGACAGAUCAAAACGUUUCUUAACACUUACUUGACAGUGAGAUGCAGAAACUGCAGGAGAUUCUGGCAACACCUGUUGAAGCUUCAGAUGGUCCUUCUUCAACAUCAUCAUCAUGGAGCUUGCGACAGUCUGCAGCCCAAGAUGAGUGGCAGAAAGCAAGGCCCUACCAUCUGGACUGCUUGUUGUUCUCCAGGGUGGUCAAGGAAAAUAAAUGCAGUCAGUGCUCAUCUCCUGCAGUUGUUCGUUGCAGAGACUGCAUGCCAGAAGAGUGGCUGUGUACGGAGUGUGAUAUAAUUUGCCACAAAAAUUGGUACUCCAUAACAGGGAGUCCUGCAUCGAUGGAUUUUACAGGCCCAUUCCACCAACGGUGUGCUGUGUGAAAGAAAAUGGCAGAUAUACAUUAAAAAAUCAAGUACGGCUGUUGCCUACAGUGAGACCAGACCGACUGUGCACCUGUGACCCAACGCACCUCACAGAAUCUGCUGGAAGAGCAACUAUUUUGGUUUGCAUAAAUGGUCGUUAUGACUUGUACUUGCCCAAUUUGGUGUGCAGAGUGUGUCUAUCACAAUGGACACCUGACAGAAGUGACCUCAUAAGAAGUGGGUAUUGGCCAGCAUCUGUGAAUGCUGACACAUUGUUUUCGGCAGAUGUAUUCAGCACAUUUGAGGAGAUGAAAACCGUUGCUCCGGGUUUGUCAAGACAAGGCUUUUUGCGGCUGUUAGAGCAGAGGACAGAGCAGUUUGGAAGGGUCAGAGGAACCAUACUUUGAGGGCAUCUUCAUUGCCAAAGAUGUAGACGUAUCCUCUUUCGUUGAAGAAAUCAGGAGUAAAAUGAAAAGUACUCCAGGGAAAGGCACUUGUGGAGCUAGUCAGUGGUCUGCUGCCAGGGAGACUGCUAGAAGAGCUAGCAAACUUGAUGAAGAGGGUCUUGAGGUAGCUGUUUGCAGGCAUGGGGUGAUAUUAAAGGGUCUCAACAUGUACAGGGGGGAGAUCUUUGCAUAUCCCCUAUUCCUGCAGAAGGAGCUUCAGGCAGCCACAAACAUUAAUUUCUACUGUACUGACAUCUCAUGUAAGUACUGGCCCUAUCUUCAGAAGAUGUCAGUCUCUAUGCCUGAACUGAGCCCUCUUCUUCAAAUGAGGCCGUUUCUGUCAGUCAUGCACGCCAAGGCCCAUUCAACAAAGUGUGAGAUUGUCUGGAGUGGUAGGAAUCAGGAGGGUGCUGGCGCAACUGCAGGGGAAGAGGUGGAAAUGGUGAACAGUUUCCUCUCUCGUUGUGCUCUCACAACUAAGUACAUGACCAAAUCUGGUAUGUUAUCCUUCUUUAUAACAUUAAUACAAAUAUUUUGGUUCUUUAAGUUAUUCUUUCAGUAGUCUUUCAUUCUUUAUAUAAAAAUACAGAAAUACACCUUUAUUUUAAAUAAAUUUGAAUAGGCUGCCCAGUAACAUUUGAAUAUGUUUUCAAAAAACUCGCAAUGACAUGCUGACUAUACAUGCAAUUGAGUGGAAUAGACGCAAGCAUGAUGGCCUUCAUCUUGCAUUGUCCAACAGAUAUGUCAAGGUAUUGACCAUAUUACACAGAAUUAAUCUGGUCUUAGAGGACAAAAGGCAAUUGUUUGUUUGCAUUUUAAUUAAAAACUGUCCGAAAGGCUGAGGCUGGAGAACUUGAGCCGUGAACUUGGGUGUCCUGGAAACAUGGUGCAGCAGUGGGUUCAUGACGUCAGACAGUGGGCCACUGAUGAUUCUAUAGAUGCCAGACAGGAUGACCAACAUGUCCUUCAGCGGUCGAUAGAGCAGAUAUGUCUGGGUGUCUAUCAAAAAAAAGCAAGCCUUUAUAAUCAGACAGACAGCAACAAGAUUCGACAAAUGCGGCGACGGAAAUUGGGGGAAGAGAAAAAAAAACUAUUUGAAGCGAUCAAACAGUACAAUGCGCAGGUCCCAGAGGAGGAGGGCAUAAACGAGCAGAUGGUGGAAAGCCGACUCUCUAUGGUGGGCCAUGCCAGUGGGGAGGACAGUCUUAUAUGGCCAUGGGAGGUUUACAGCACUGAAUCCACAAGCAUCCUAACUAAGAAGAAGAUCUUUGAUGCAUACAUGUCAAAGAUGCGGCUGCAAGAAGAGAAGAUCAUAAUUCUUAGAGAGAUGAGACAGCACUGCACCCACCUCAGAGGGCUGGCUGAAGGCAUUAGGAAGCAGAUUGCAGACAUGUCUGAAGGAAAUCGUGGCAGUUUAACUGACGAGGGGCAUUGUGGGCUACAGUGUCUUCUACAGGAAAGGCUUGCUGCUCAAGAUACAGCUUGGUUUUAGGACCUCUAUUCCCUGAAGACUGGUCCAAGGAGAUACCGGAUAAGAGUGAAGGACUUGACUAUGAGAGCUCAGACGAUAGAUGUCUAAUUUGUAAAUUGAUGUGUUUUUGGAUUUGCUUUAUUUUUUGUUUUUCUGGAGGGGGUGGUUUUGGACAUUCCCCUUUUCAAUAAAUAGCCUCCCUAAUUGACAGAAAUUCCAUUGCCUUUAUUGUGAUGAGUAAACCUGCAAAUUUAUUUUCGUUUCCCCACCCACCAGCCCUGUAACUGGUCAAACUGAUGUACUUGGUACUGACUGCAUCAAUAAAAGCUGAUAUUCAGUGAUCUUUAUGCUGUUAUGCUUUAUUUGCUCUGUAUGCUAGGCUUAACUGUUCCUGCUGCACCACAUUCUCACAGAGCCAAAGUCCGACAGUGAGUUGUUGAAUGACUACCACCAAGACUACUUUAUUGAUAUUAUAGCAACUACAUUAGUCUAAUAUAUAAUGCUGUUAUAUAAUGCUCCAACUGCAGACGUGUUAGGUGAAGGUGUUUGUAGUAUUUUGAGCCUCUUAUUAAUGCAACAUAUAAGUUACACAUGCUACAAAAAUAAAAAUAUCUGUGUGCAAUUAAUUAUCUGCCACAGACCCACCCAGUUUUACACUGACUUUGCAUUGUUUCUUCACAAUUACUAUUCAGACCUUUUAAUGG